rnacentral:pre_miRNA from 1 species
GGAGAUAUUGCACAUUACUAAGUUGCACGUUCUCACGGCCUCAGUGCAAUUUAGUGUGUGCGAUAC